UGGCGAUGACGAUGAAAAGGCCGGACUUACGGCUGCCGUAUACUUCUUUGGCAGUAGAUUGAUGGACUUUAUGGUUUAGGGUUUUCUGAGCCAG